AACUAACGCUGGCGGCGCGCCUAAUACAUGCAAGUCGAACGAUGUAGCAAUACAUAGUGGCGCACGGGAGAGUAACACGUGGAUAAUCUCCCCUCGAGAGAAGAAUAACUAGUCGAAAGAUUGGCUAAUACUUCGUAAGACCACAGAAACAAAUGUUUCAGGGGUAAAAGUCGUAAGACGCUUGAGGAUGAGUCUGCGUCCCAUUAGCUAGUUGGUGAGGUAAUGGCUCACCAAGGCUUCGAUGGGUAGCUGGUCUGAGAGGAUGAUCAGCCUCACUGGAACUGACACACGGUCCAGACUCCUACGGGAGGCAGCAGUAGGGAAUAUUGCACAAUGGAGGAAACUCUGAUGCAGCGACGCCGCGUGAGUGAUGAAGGACUUCGGUUUGUAAAGCUCUGUUGUCAGGGAAUAAAAAAAUGAAUGUACCUGACGAGAAAGGACCGGCUAACUUCGUAGCCAGCAGCCGCGGUAAU
rnacentral:rRNA from 1 species